rnacentral:rRNA from 1 species
CUAGUGAUUAGAGUUUGAUCAUGGCUCAGAACGUACGCUGGCGGCACGCCUAAUACAUGCAAGUCAAACGAAGUAGCAAUACUUAGUGGCAGACGGGUGAGUAACAUGUAGGUAUCUGCCCUUUGGCCUGGAAUAACACGAGGAAACUUGUGCUAAUACCGGAUAAGUCUUUACGGAGAAAGCUUUAUGCACCAUUGGAUGAGCCUGCACUUGAUUAGUUUGUUGGUGGGGUAAUGGCCUACCAAGACUGUGAUCAAUAGCUGAUUUGAGAGGAUGAUCAGCCACAUUGGGACUGAGACACGGCCCAAACUCCUACGGGAGGCAGCAGUGGGGAAUCUUGCACAAUGGAGGAAACUCUGAUGCAGCGAUGCCGCGUGAGUGAAGAAGGCCUUUGGGUUGUAAAGCUCUUUCGUCGGGGAAGAAAAUGACUGUACCCGAAUAAGAAGGUCCGGCUAACUUCGUGCCAGCAGCCGCGGUAAUACGAAGGGACCUAGCGUAGUUCGGAAUUACUGGGCUUAAAGAGUUCGUAGGUGGUUGAAAAAGUUGGUGGUGAAAUCCCAGAGCUUAACUCUGGAACUGCCAUCAAAACUUUUCAGCUAGAGUAUGAUAGAGGAAAGCAGAAUUUCUAGUGUAGAGGUGAAAUUCGUGGAUAUUAGAAAGAAUACCAAUUGCGAAGGCAGCUUUCUGGAUCAUUACUGACACUGAGGAACGAAAGCAUGGGUAGCGAAGAGGAUUAGAUACCCUCGUAGUCCAUGCCGUAAACGAUGUGUGUUAGACGUUGGAAAUUUAUUUUCAGUGUCGCAGCGAAAGCGAUAAACACACCGCCUGGGGAGUACGACCGCAAGGUUAAAACUCAAAUGAAUUGACGGGGACCCGCACAAGUAGUGGAGCAUGUGGUUUAAUUCGAAGAUACGCGCAGAACCUUACCAACACUUGACAUGUUCGUCGCGACCUUAAGAGAUUAAAGUUUUCGGUUCGGCCGGACGAAACACAGGUGCUGCAUGGCUGUCGUCAGCUCGUGUCGUGAGAUGUUGGGUUAAGUCCCGCAACGAGCGCAACCCUCACUUUUAGUUGCCAUCAUUAAGUUGGGCACUCUGAAAGAACUGCCAGUGAUAAGCUGGAGGAAGGUGGGGAUGACGUCAAGUCCUCAUGGCCCUUACGUGUUGGGCUACACACGUGCUACAAUGGUAUCUACAACAGGAAGCAAGACUGCGAAGUUAAGCAAAUCCUUAAAAGAUACCUCAGUUCGGAUUGCACUCUGCAACUCGAGUGCAUGAAGCUGGAAUUACUAGUAAUCGUGGAUCAGCGUGCCACGGUGAAUGCGUUCCCGGGUCUUGUAGACACCGCC